rnacentral:lncRNA from 1 species
UAGAUAUUAUUUUAAACUCUUGGGCAUUUUUAAGUCUGUAGGAGCCAUCUAGGGCUCCUUGACCCAAAAUUCUUCUAGAUCAGAGGUCAUAACUCCAGUUCCGUCAAUCAUGACCACAAUCUAGGUGCACAUCCUAAGCCCAAAUCUAGCCCUUAGAGUACCUAUAAUUUCUUGAUCCAAGUGCAUCAGGACUCCUUGCUUGUGACCUAAAUGGUGUGGCUAUAGUUAGUUAUGCCCUACUUGUUGAAAAAAUAAUUUGUAAUUUUCUAGAAGCUGAAGAAUCAUAGAUUAGUCACUAAUGUAUCUGAAAGCUGAAGAAUCAAGUAGAAGAACCUAGAAGAUGA